rnacentral:rRNA from 1 species
AAUAGAUACCCCGGUAGUCCACGCCGUAAACGAUGAGUGCUAAGUGUUAGAGGGUUUCCGCCCUUUAGUGCUGCAGCUAACGCAUUAAGCACUCCGCCUGGGGAGUACGGUCGCAAGACUGAAACUCAAAGGAAUUGACGGGGGCCCGCACAAGCGGUGGAACAUGUGGUUUAAUUCGAAGCAACGCGAAGAACCUUACCAGGUCUUGACAUCCUCUGACAACUCUAGAGAUAGAGCGUUCCCCUUCGGGGGACAGAGUGACAGGUGGUGCAUGGUUGUCGUCAGCUCGUGUCGUGAGAUGUUGGGUUAAGUCCCGCAACGAGCGCAACCCUUGAUCUUAGUUGCCAGCAUUUAGUUGGGCACUCUAAGGUGACUGCCGGUGACAAACCGGAGGAAGGUGGGGAUGACGUCAAAUCAUCAUGCCCCUUAUGACCUGGGCUACACACGUGCUACAAUGGAUGGUACAAAGGGCUGCAAGACCGCGAGGUCAAGCCAAUCCCAUAAAACCAUUCUCAGUUCGGA